GUGCUUGCUUUGGCAGCAUAUGUACUAAAACUGGAAUGAGACAGAGAAGACUAGCACAGCCUCUGUGUAAGGAUGAUUUGCAAAUUCAUGAAGUGCUUCAUAUUUUC
ensembl:snRNA U6 U6 spliceosomal RNA